GACAGAGGGUGCAAACGUUGUUCGGAAUUACUGGGCGUAAAGCGCGUGUAGGUGGCGAGGCAAGUCGGGUGUGAAAGCCCUGGGCUCAACCCAGGAAGUGCACUCGAUACUGCCUAGCUAGAGUCCCGGAGAGGUUGGUGGAACUCUCGGUGUAGAGGUGAAAUUCGUAGAUAUCGAAGAAGAACACCGGUGGCGAAGGCGGCCAACUGGACGGUGACUGACACUGAGACGCGAAAGCGUGGGGAGACAAAC
rnacentral:rRNA from 1 species